UACGUAGGGUGCAAGCGUUGUCCGGAAUUAUUGGGCGUAAAGAGCUCGUAGGCGCUUGUCGCGUCGGCUGUGAAAACCUGGGGCUCAACCCCGGGCCUGCAGCCGAUACGGGCAGCUAGAGUUCGGUAGGGGAGACUGGAAUUCCUGGUGUAGCGGUGAAAUGCGCAGAUAUCAGGAGGAACACCGGUGGCGAAGGCGGGUCUCUGGGCCGAAACUGACGCUGAGGAGCGAAAGCGUGGGGAGCGAACAGG
rnacentral:rRNA from 1 species